AUUGAACGCUGGCGGCAUGCCUUACACAUGCAAGUCGAACGGUAACAGGUCUUCGGAUGCUGACGAGUGGCGAACGGGUGAGUAAUACAUCGGAACGUGCCUAGUAGUGGGGGAUAACUACUCGAAAGAGUGGCUAAUACCGCAUGAGAUCUACGGAUGAAAGCAGGGGAUCGCAAGACCUUGUGCUACUAGAGCGGCCGAUGGCAGAUUAGGUAGUUGGUGGGAUAAAAGCUUACCAAGCCGACGAUCUGUAGCUGGUCUGAGAGGACGAUCAGCCACACCUGGACUGAGACACGGCCCAGACUACUCCGGGAGGCAGCAGUGGGUAAUUUUGGACAAUGGGCGCAAGCCUGAUCCAGAAAUGCCGCGUGCAGGAUGAAGGCCUUCGGGUUGUAACCUUCUUUUGUACGGAACGAAAAGCCCUGGGUUAAUACCCUGGGGUCAUGACGGUACCGUAAGAAUAAGCACCGGCUAGCUACGUGCCAGCAGCCGCAGUAA
rnacentral:rRNA from 1 species